AAUUCUCAUUCACCCUCAACCACACCACCAAUAUCCCUUCAAUUCACUCUCUCUCUCUCUCCCUUCAAGAUAGCCGAGACUCGUGGGGGAUACAGAGACUAGUAGUAGUAGUGAGUAGUGAGUAGGAAGCUUUGUCUUUUGAGGGGAAUGUUGUCUGGCUCGAGGACCCUUCUUCAUCUUCAUCAAGAAAUGUUUAGUGUUCUCGGACCAGGCUUCAUUCCCCCCAAUUCCAUGCUUCCAAAUCAAGGUAUUUUCCCACUCUCACCUCGUCUUUCAACAAAUAUUUUCAGCCACACAAAGUGUUGACCACAUAGUAGGUUUGCUUCCUCUCCUCUCCUCCUCUAUGGUUUUCUUUUUAAACUUUUGUUUUUUUCUUAAAUAUGGGUAGAUCUGAAUCGUGGGGUUUGGUUUUUGGAUGUAGUUUGCAGAUUGGUGUAAUGAUGAAGCAUUUUGACCCCGUUUCAAAAGCUUUUCAUCAUUACUUCCUUUUCGUUGCUUUCUUUUUCUCUGAUCAUGUUAUGAUGGUGUUUUUCUUGUCAGGCUCUAACUACCUUUUUCUCUUCUUCAUCAUUAGCCGGAUCCUCUCCCAAUUAUGUUUUCCAGCAUCCGAUCUGUCUGUUUCUGCCAUGUUUUCUCAGAUCUGGCCACCUUUGAGACACUCACUUAUUCAUUCUCCUCGCCCCCCCUUUUUUUUUUCAUCUUAUCUCUCUCUCUCUCUCUUUAGGGUUUUGUGGACUAUGUUCUGUCUCUAAUCUCUAUGUUGUGAUAAGCUGAUCCCUGAGUCUCAGAUGAAGAAGCAAGAGGAUGAAACAAUGAAACCCCUUUUAUUAAUUAUUAGUCAUUUCACCAUUGUCAAACCGUGUGGUCAAAUCGAGGUUUAAUGUGCCAUCUGUUACAGGAAUGAACAUAGUGACAAGAGCCUUGUAGACUCCGCCCUCUCUUUAUUAGAUUCUUCUGCUCCCAGUGGUCAAACUUUUGUUUCUUAAUUGCACUUUAUUAUGCGUUUAAAUUUGUUGCUACAUCUGUAUUUGAUACUAAACUGAUAGAUCCUUGAAUCUGUUGUUCUUAUUGUUGGUAGGUGGUAGCAUUUACCUUCCUUGUAUAGGUCUAGUAAUGUCACACAGAUCUAUACUUUUUCUGUUUGCUUUGUCAUUCUGUUCAUGCCAAAUUGUAAUUAAAAUGGAUAGAUCUGAGCAUUGGUUAUGCAGAAUCCAGAAUGGAAUCAAUUUUGAGAAGUAUGGCUUUAUUUUCUUAUGGGUGUUGCAGAACCGUGUUGUUUUUCAAUGGACGAGUUUAAUUCUUCCCUGGCUUAAUUUAAUAUUUCAUUUGAUAGCUGAAACCCUAAUUUCCUGCACAAUCAAAGAAUCAAUGUACAAGAUGCUUCCUUUUCUACUGAUUAAGUUUCAAUGUUUAUUAAUCAAUUGGUUUAGAAGAAAACAAAAACUCCUUUCAUUAAUUAUAAUAAUUACAGUUCUUCAAGGAUAAAGCAAAUUAAUUUUUUCCUUUAAGGAUCAUGAAUCUUGUUCAUGAGUUUAGGAAACAUUAAAUUCUGCAUUUUAGCCCUUUCUCUCGUGAUAGAAACAGCAAAUAAAUAUCAAUGCCUCGUUAGGAAUCAAAGAUUUAUGCAGGUCAAUGUUUGAGCAACUGAGCAUUGUCCCAACAGGCAUCACUGCAAUGUUACUUUUUUUGAUCAAUAUCACUGCAAUGUUACUGACACAGGGAUUUGGAAGAGACUAGCUACAGCAUCCUAUUAAGUUUGAUUCAGAAUCAGAAUGGUAGACAAAAAGGGUCUGCACAUAGCUAGCGGCAUUGGGGAACACGAAUGACAUAAUCACAGUGCUCAAUGUUCAUGGCUUCAUGCAUACACCACUAUUUUUCUUUAUCACCAUUGUUGUUUACAUAUUCAUACUUGCACGCAAAUGUGUACUUUAUUAUUUUCAACACAACUCAUGUAUCCAAACCCUCUUACUAUAAUAAUAUUUGAAUUUCGUUUUGAUCUCUGAA